GAUGAACGCUGGCGGCGUGCCUAAUACAUGCAAGUCGAGCGAACAGACGAGGAGCUUGCUCCUCUGACGUUAGCGGCGGACGGGUGAGUAACACGUGGAUAACCUACCUAUAAGACUGGGAUAACUUCGGGAAACCGGAGCUAAUACCGGAUAAUAUAUUGAACCGCAUGGUUCAAUAGUGAAAGACGGUUUUGCUGUCACUUAUAGAUGGAUCCGCUCCGCAUUAGCUCGUUGGUAAGGUAACGGCUUACCAAGGCGACUAUGCGUAGCCGACCUGAGAGGGUGAUCGGCCACGCCGGAACUGAGACACGGUCCAGACUCCUACGGGAGGCAGCAGAAGGGAAUCGUCCGCAAUGGGCGAAAGCCUGACGGAGCAACGCCGCGUGAGUGAUGAAGGUCUGCGGAUCGUAAAACUCUGUUAUUAGUGAAGAACAAAUGUGUAAGUAACUAUGCACGUCUUGACGGUACCUAAUCAGAAAGCCACGGCUAACUACGUG
rnacentral:rRNA from 1 species